rnacentral:lncRNA from 1 species
UACCAAUCGAGUGCAUCCCCCUCCAGGCUUUUCGAGAGUAGCCUUAAAGGUAGAUUUUCAUCAUCUACUGGCCUACCCAACUUGUUAGCGAACAAUCGGAUGUGUGUCUUGGGAUUGCCUGUACCAUCGUAUUUGUUAAAUUUCGGAGUUUUAAACCCCACAGGCAGUUGUACAUCAGGAAAAAGGCAAAACUCAUCAUAGUCCAGUACUCCUUGCUUGCUUAAACCCUGACUUUUUCUCAUGAAUUCAUCGAAACGAUCGAGGCGCUUGAGCAACUUCAUGUCAACAGGAGCAGAAGAUUCCCCAAUCUCUGGUUUUGCUUAGGCAGCGUUAUCUAACAGGAAAGGCUCUGUAGUGGCUUGUUAAAUGUCUGUGGUUCAGGGGGAAUAUUAGAAGUAAUUUGGGGUAGUGAAAUUUAAGCAUGACUAGGAUUGAAUGAAGGAUUAGGGGGUAAGAUAUGAUGGAUUUGCAACAGUGUAAUUAAAAGUUUCUUCAAGUGGACCAAUGAAAGAGGGAUUGAAGGCAGUUUGGGUCUGUGGUCUGGUAAUC